rnacentral:lncRNA from 1 species
CCUUUGAUCUUCUAAGAGUCCAAGUCUUGAGUCUGAAGAGAAGUCCCCUUCCCAAUGGAGUGGAAUGGGUAUUUAUAGGAUUUUUUGGAGAGUGGUCAUGUGAUAGGCACAUGUCAUCGGGGAAAUUCCAAAUUUACCCUUAGUCAUCAGAGUAAUGCCCAGAUCGUUCUGCCCUUCUAGCCACCAAUCCAAUCCCUCAAUCAAUUCCCAAAAUGAGUCACCUCCACGUGUCUUCUGCCUCGGGAUACGUGGAAGAUUCUCUCAGAUCUUACUUCUUUAUUUUGGACUUUUCUGCUUGUCAUUCAAUUCUUUAGGUCAUAUGUGUGAACCCUAAUUUGUACAUGGACUCACAUUUGCCCCCUGCAUGUGAGUCACACCUUCGGAGUGGCGAUCGUGCAAAUUU